CAGCCUGGGUCUCCUGGCCCCUGAGAUCCAGCUAAGCUCAGCUAGAAUGCUGGUGCCGUGCACUGGCGGAAUCCAAAUCAUCCCCCAGAUUUUUGUAAAUUCCCGGGGACUCGUGUUCUUUUUGCUUCCUCUGGCUUUCGGGACUUACCAUCUAAAAGAGACCUGCUCCCACUCUGCUGUGAAGCUCUUACAACUUCCGUUUUCCCUUCAUAGUACUCUUACUGCUGCUGCUGCUGCUGAUUGCGGCCACUGAUAUUGUCAGUUGUGUUAAUACUGACAGUGGCAAGCACCCGCCAUGUGCUGGACUCUCUGCUGACCUGUAUGCAUCCCCUUUGGUAAACCCCACAACGAUCCUAUGAGGGAGGUGCUGUUGUAUUUCCCCAUUUGGCAUGUAAGCAAAGAGUCUCAGAGAUUUCAUGGAGGAGUAGGGGAUAGAUUCUGGGUUUGUCUACCUCUAAAGCCCAAGCUCUUACCCCCUGUAUUGUAUUUGGAGUUUGUGGAAUUGUUUGACUAACCUCUGGCUCCCCCACCAGACUGGGAGGUCUGCAGAGGUAGGAAGCACGUCUGAUUGCUUCACCACUAUGUCCCCAGGGCAAUGACUUUUUUUUUUUAUAAAAAAUAAUGCGAGGUAUCGUACAUGAGUUUGUUUAGGCUUUAUUGCUCUGAAGCCAAUGGAGGUAAGAAGCUGGUUUUUAUUUGUUUUUCUUUCGUGGAGGGAAGCAGUGUUUGUUCUUGCCACGCAGAUGCAUUCUCCUCAACUGUUUCGGUCUGGGUGACCUCUCAUUUAGCCUGCCUCCUCUGUUUCUUCAAACCAAACAGUGUCCAUAAAGCGUCCUUUGGCUAGCCGAUAACCCCUGCUUUCCCACCGCUCUAAAUACGCUCCUCCAGUCUUGCAUGUCGGGCUGUCUCGCGUUUUCAGAAUUGUGUUUGGUGGCUUUCUCUCCGCUUCCUCACGUUUCUCCCGUUCAGCCUCCUGCUUUAUGUCCCUGCUCUGGGCUGCCCGUACCUACAAGGUUGCUUCUGGAAUUUUAAAUGUCUCCAUGCUUAAUAAAAACUUGGUGCUUUGGGUGAUUUCCAGGAAAAGAAAAGGAAAAUAUGGACCUGCCCUGAGAUGACUUUACGGGGAUUGGGGUGCAUCUGUCUACGAGGGGGCAGCCCAGUUGCUUGCUGGCAAUUGGGAAUACAAGCUCACUGGCACCGGAUCUUUCAGGGUGAGGUUGGACCUUUAAAAAAACCACGUUGAUUGUGUUGACUGGCUGUUGUUUCUUGGCAAACUAUCUUUCUUAUAACUAUUUUUUUCUUUUGGAGCAUUCCUUUUUUUUUUCUUUUUCUUUUUCACGUCAUCUUUUAACAUAUUAAAUAAAAUGUGCACGUCUA